UCCUCCCUCCUGCUCCUCCUCCUCUUCCUCCCCAUUCUCUCUCUCUCCCCCCUCCUCUCUUCUCUUCUCUUCCCCCGCCCCAUUCUUUGCUGCAGCUGCUUUGUGUAAUUCACCCUGGACCUCCAAGACAUGGGGGUCAAUGAUGGCUUUAGCCACAUCCUAGCUCCUCCCUCUUGGAGAAGCAAGCAGUGAGACCCCCAAGGCUUCAUUUCUCCUGAGGACACUUUGGCCCAGAGGCCUGUUUGCAUCCCAAGGCAGCAGCCACUCGAGACCUUCCCAGUAAGGUGGCUUUGGGACAACGGUUCUGGACUCCUCUGGAUUGUUCCUGAGGUUCCCUGUCCCAGUCACCUGGAGUCCUAAAUACGAACAACAUCAGCACUUGAGCCUGUGUCUGGAGAGAGCCGGAAGUCUGCUGAGCAUGCUGGAUGCUCUCAGCAUCUGGCUGGGACAGCUCCGCCUGCCAAGGGUGAGGUGCUCUCUGGUUUUGUGGAGCAGCAAGGGUCUUCCGUGCAGGACAUAAGGACUGAAGAUGGGCACAGGGCCCUCUGCGCCGCUUACUGCUCAGUUCAUUUCACCCCAUGCUUUGCUGACUGAUGGGGGACAGAAGCGGCCAUUUUCCUCUUUUAAGAGUGACUGCUUCUUUCCAAUUGCCCUCUGGUUAGGGUGCACUUAUAAAUCAGAGUUAAUAUAUGGAUGCGUCUGCAUGCACGGGGAAGCGAGAGAGUGCCUGCCUGAGUGAUGCGUGUGGCUGGGUGUGUGUUUGUGUGCUUGAGUGUGUGAGUGUGCUCAAGAACUAGUCUUGGGCUUGUAGCUUCAUUGCUCAGUGGAUAGGGACAGGGAUGCCUAGAAGAAUGGGGGUGGGCAUGUCCCUGGAUCACGGGCCCAGGGGACAUGGCUGGGUUUUAUGUGCUAGGGUACCCUUUCUCUAUCCCCUCCCCCAAUCCCUUACUGUCCUUGGCCAUCUUCUGCCCAGAGCCAAACCCUGUAGGUGCCCAGUGUGGGAUCCAGUAUCUCAUGUGGUGGUAUCUUUAUUGGUGAUCAUCUCCUCGCCCCACCCUACCCCCACCUUGUGAAAUAAAUAUGUCAGCAAUCCCACAAUGCAA
rnacentral:lncRNA from 1 species